AACUUUGCACAGUGGCAGUAUCAUAGUGAAUGAGAUUUACCAUAGGUGUGAUUAUUGCUAAUUGAAAACUUUUCUACCAAUU
rnacentral:snRNA from 1 species